GACAAUGGGAAAACGUGGUUUAGUCCACAACAAACUUUACCUGGCAAAUUUGUUUGAUACAUACUGCGAUUUUAUAAUUUUAUCUACAAAACACUACAUCAAAUAAAAUAAUCAUUUGGAAGAUAGACGAUGAGUUAAAAAACUUUGUUGCUCAUGGCUUUUUUCUUCUUCUAAGCUGGAGGACAGAUAGAGCUCAGCGCUCUGGUCUCCUCGCUACUCUCUGCGUUGCUGGAUGAUGCUCAUCUUGGAUAUGAAGCACCGCGAGCUGAUCUCCUCCGUUGGUGCUCUCCAAGCCGAUUUCCUCUUCCUUCUUUGAUUGGCUAACCUCGUUGACGUGCCUGGCCCCCUGGAGCAAGCCGCGGUUGGCUCGAACUUGCGCCCACCUAGCAGGACGCAGUGGCCUCUCCUCGCCUUCGCCCUCCUUCACCCUGCGUCGCACCGCGCCGCUCCAUGCGACGCUCGCUCACGUCGCCGCUCAAGAGGUAUGCCGCCAGCAAAAGGGCACACGGAAGGUAGGAGGCGUGGUCGUGACCAUGCGCAACCGAUAGAAGGGAAUGAAAGAUUCAGACGAAGCUGGCGUUGAACAAGAGAGGGUAAAGUGGAAAUU
rnacentral:lncRNA from 1 species